rnacentral:lncRNA from 1 species
CAGUUACACCUAAAGAAGCUAUCCCAUAAUAUUCCCUUACAUCCUUUUCUUGCACUUUCCACAGAUGCUGGUCAUUUUCAAGGACAGAAUAUUGGACAGGAUAUGUGGGGCUUGUGCUCUGGCACAGCAGAUCCAGUGCUCAAAUUCAAGGUGACUUGUGGCACAGCUGCUGUCCUUUGGUCCUGGAGCCUGUUCCCUGUGUCAUCCUCUGAUAAGUUUGUUCCAGACACAUAUCCAUCAGCAAGUGUCUGGAGUCUUCGUGUGUGCUGAGUAACACCUGGUGUUACCUGCUCCCACUGAGAGAAAGAGGCUGUGGCUUCUGCUGCAGGCUAAGAGGUAGGCAAGGCGUUUUUCUCUCUCUUAAAACAAAUGUCAAGCUAUUUGUUCUCUAUUCAAGUAGCAAGUCUUAUAUCAGAACUUCUUAUAUUCUUGUUAUCAAUCCUCUGGUGACCCCAAGAGAGUAUUACCCAACACACACCCAGAGCCAGGGCUUUCCAUCUGUGGAGCAAGGCCCUGUAAGUGAGCAGUGGUUUUCCUCAAUCUUUGUUUUUUCACACUCAUCUUGGAAUUGUUCUACCUGCUAUAAAAUCAGUAGUUUUCAAUAUUCUGAGUUUGAGGUCCUGUAGAAAUCUGCCAUUUACUAAACAGGUACCAGUGUGAAACACUGGAUAUUGUACAUGAACUCAUGAACUCUAUCUUUUUCUUUCAGGACACUGAGCUUAUGAAGAAGAAUUUUCUGGUUUGGAGGUAAAGUCCAGGGAUACCACAUUUUUAGGGAGGGAAUUUUAUUGGCAAAUAACUUUUCUUGAUAAACCAAGUGACAAACUUUUUUCAUAUUCAAGCUUAUCAAAACUGUACAUGUUGGUGAAGUAUUCUGUUUUAACUUUCCUGGCCACUAAUCAAAGUAGAUGGGUUGUGGAAGUACAAUCUUCAGCCUGGAAAGUCCCAAAGUGAGUAGCCUGCUAAUGGACAUAUGCUAAAUACGAAAAGCAGGAUCUGUAUUUACAUAGGAGUUUCAGGACUGAGUUGUAAUACUUACUGACAUCCAGUUUUUCCCUUGAGCAGUGAACAUUGCUGGAAGAUCUGUACCACAUUGUUCCUGUUUUUAGUACAAAGAUGAAUAGCCUAUUCCAAAAACACUAUUCUGUCUGAUAAGAAACUUUCCCUCUCUAAGAAACCAGAAAGCAAACAUAUGAAAAUAAAGAUUUUAAAAAUCUUUAUGUCUUCUAAUAGAUAAAAGCAAAAUAAAUCAUUCUUUCAAUGUAGUGAUACCAGAAAAUGUA